AUUGAACGCUAGCGGCAUGCCUUACACAUGCAAGUCGAACGGCAGCGGGGGAGCUUGCUCCCGCCGGCGAGUGACGAACGGGUGAGUAAUACAUCGGAACGUACCCAGUAGCGGGGGAUAGCCCGGCGAAAGCCGGAUUAAUACCGCAUACGCCCUACGGGGGAAAGGGGGGGAUCGCAAGACCUCUCACUAUUGGAGCGGCCGAUGGCUGUUUAGUACUAGUUGGUGGGGUAAAGGCAUACCAAGGCGACGAUCAGUAGCUGGUCUGAGAUGACAACCAGCCACGCUGGGACUGAGACACGGACCAGACUCCUACGGGGGGAAGCAGUGGGGAAUUUUGGACAAUGGGCGAAAGUCGGAUCCAGCAAUGCCGCGUGUGCGAAGAAGGCCUUCGGGUUGUAAAGCACUUUUGUCGGGGAAGAAAUCGUUUGGGUUAAUACCCCGAGCAGUUGACGGUACCUGAAGAGUAAGCACCGGCUAACUACGUGCCAGCCGCCGCCGUAA
rnacentral:rRNA from 1 species